GCCUGUCUCAGUUCGGAUUGGAGUCUGCAACUCGACUCCAUGAAGCUGGAUUCGCUAGUAAUCGCGCAUCAGCCAUGGCGCGGUGAAUACGUUCCCGGGCCUUGUACACACCGCCCGUCAAGCCAUGGAAGCCGGGAGUGCCUGAAGUGUGCAACCGCAAGGAGCGCCCUAAGGUAAAACUGGUGACUGGGGCUAAGUCGUAACAAGGUACC
rnacentral:rRNA from 1 species